rnacentral:rRNA from 1 species
AACAUUGCCUGUAGAUACUUUAUUACAGGUACAUCCUGCCCAGUGACACAACGUGUUCAACGGCCGCGGUACCCUGACCGUGCAAAGGUAGCAUAAUCACUCGCCCUUUAAUUGGGGGCUGGAAUGAACGGACACACGAAAGAUACACUGUCUCCUUUUUACCCAUAAAAACUAACCUUCAGGUGAAGAGGCCUGAAUUCUAUAAAAGGACAAGAAGACCCUAUUGAGCUUUACUUUUAAACUUACUUUAUAAACUGCCAGCAAACUAACCUAGUAAGCCUAAAGUUUGGUUGGGGCGACCAAGGAACACACUAAACUUCCUUUUAAUACCUAGCUAACUAGCUUAUCAUGAUCCGAUUUUCGAUUAAAGAAAAAAGCUACCAUAGGGAUAACAGGCUAAUCCUCCUAGAGAGCUCCCAUUGAUAGGAGGGGUUGGCACCUCGAUGUUGGCUUAGGGUAUCCCACUGGUGUAGCAGCCAGUAAAGGUGGGUUUGUUCAACCCGUAACACCCUACGU